rnacentral:lncRNA from 10 species
GCUCAGGGGGACCCCAGGCAACAGCUGAUGACUCACUGGGAGGAAGGCGUUUCACCAUAUUCAUAACCUGCUCAUCUGCACGGGGCCCACCUGCUGUGCCCAGGCCUCUCCACGCUUCCAUAACCCAGCGUCCACCACUCCAAGGGGGGCACUAAUGCCGGGAGGAAUGAGCUGGGGGCACAGACAGGAGACAGGACCCUCUCCAGGCUGGGACAGGACCUGACCCCCUUCUUCCUGUCCUCAGAUGUGGACGAGUGCAGCUCCGGGCAGCAUCAGUGUGACAGCUCCACCGUCUGCUUCAACACCGUGGGUUCAUACAGCUGCCGCUGCCGCCCAGGCUGGAAGCCCAGACACGGAAUCCCGAAUAACCAAAAGGACACUGUCUGUGAAGAUAUGACUUUCUCCACCUGGACCCCGCCCCCUGGAGUCCACAGCCAGGUGAGUGGCCCCCACAGGGACGAGGCGGCGGGAACUCCAUCCACA